AUAUAAAUAGGCUAAAAUAAGCUGUUAAGCUCAUAACUUAAUGAUAGAAUAAUUCUUUUAUAUA
rnacentral:tRNA from 1 species